CUGUUGUGGACAAAUAUAAUGUACAUGGGUAUCGAUAGCCCCAGCUGUUACAAUCAAUCCCUCGGCUGACAAAACUUCUGUUCCGGUUCCAAUUACCAUCUUAGGAUCCACGCCAUCCUGUGUAUCCGGAUUUCCCGCUUUUCCAAUUCCAACAAUUAUACCAUCUUUUAUACCAAUAUCUGCUUUAUAAAUUCCCGUAUAAUCCAUAAUGAUCGCGUUGGUCAAGCAGAAAUCAAGUGCGCCUGCUUUGUUCGUCAUACCAGACUUCUGACCCAUGCCAUCACG
rnacentral:sRNA from 1 species